CUGGUUUGCGCUUUGGGUAAUUAGUGUAUCACGGAGAGAUAGUGUUGUGGGACAGGAAGGAAAAGCUGUUUGUACAGUGAAGUAACUGGCAAAGCAUCUUCAGACCUGUCUCUGCUUCCCAGGUGGCACCUCCGGCUUAACCGCUGCCGUGCUGUGACACAGAGGGGGGAUCGCUGCCAACCUUCCCCUUCUCCUCCCCAGCCACCCCUGUGGUUAACCCCUCACUCGCCCUCCCAGAGGAUAAAGAGGGAAUUUCCUUCUUUUCUGGCACCGAAUAUCUAAGUACGCAUUGCCAGAGGAGGGGGCAGUGCCUCCAGGACCGCGCGUGGAACAAAUCUGGGGCUUUUCAGCCCCACUGGGUUUGGUUUUGCAGCCAGCAGCUCUCUGUGGUCAUCCUCAGCCCCUUUAGGAGUGGGGAAACUGAGGCACCAGCUCGUCGAGGCUCGCACAGCAAAGCGGUGCCAGGCACCAGGUCCAGCACACCUCCCCUGCCAGCUCCGAGGUUUAACAUCCCCCAGACCACAUCAGACGCUGCCGGUCACCUUUGCUUUCCCAGCCGGCAGCCCCGUGGAUUUAACACUUCUCUCACCCGGGCAGGAGCGGCUGCGAGAGCUGACCUGAUUGACACUUGAUUGACAGAGCCAAUUAGCCAAACUAAGCCAGCUGCAUUCAGCUCGGUCCUCCAGAAGGCUGGGGGGAGGAGGGGAGAAGCAGAGGGGAGGCCAGAAUCCAAUUCCUCUCCCAUCAGGCGUGAUUGCUGUUUUUGUUUUAUUCUCAGAUUUUUUUAUUUUUUUUUUAUUUUUUUUAGAUGUCUCCGAGACGCCGCAUCUCGUUUCCUGGAUGCCAUUCAAACAGCGCUCACCAGCUUCCCAUUCGCUUGUCAGGGAGUGCGAGGGGGUUGUCAUCACCUGGGCACGUCCUCCCGGCUCUGGGAUUUCCCCAGCUCGCAGUCAGAUAUUUACUUAACCUUGCAACUGCGCUGCGCCGGGAACGCCAAGUUUGGGGGCUGCAAGCACUCUCCCUGCUGCCGUGUUUAUACAUGGGGGCUCGCACGCUCUGCACACACGCACGCGCGGGCACGAGCAGCCCUCGGGCGCACACACGCGCUUGUGCACGGGGGACACAGCUCUCUCCCCGCUCACGGCAGGGCUCCGGUGGCAGCGGGGCACCGGUGCCUGCCAGCAUUUGAGCAUCCAUCACGCUCCAUCCGGGCACGGGCAGUGCCGUGACAGACCCGCCGUGCAUGCCGCAGACAGAUUUGCCCGUGCCAAGCACGCACGGUGCAGGAGACAGAUCUCCGUGCGUGUUUCGUGCUGCUGGACCCGAAUCCUUGCAUACCCGUCAGGUGUACCAUGCACGGAAAUGAUCACAGGCUGGCUGCACGUGUUUUUAUCCAAGCACGGAGCAGGCGAUGCAUGGAUUGAGGUCUCGCUGUUGUGCUGUGGGCAUGUCCGAGCACCAUGGACACUGCGAAGUGAAGAAGCCCGCUCCAGGGGUCACACUUUUGCCAAGAGCCUUGGUGGGGUGGGCAAGGCAUGUCUGUGGCCUGUUGUUCAGGCCUCUUCCUUCCCAGAUGUUUUCCCCAGCCAGCUCAGAUGUUGCCGUACUCCCUCAAAGGCUGCCUUGUGUUGGCUGUUUGGGACCCAAAGCCUCUUUUAUGGGUGUAGAGUCAGCCCUUGGUGACCACCGCCAAGGUCUGGACGGAUCCCAAAGCCUUUACAGAUUGUGACCACUGUUGAA
ensembl:lncRNA